rnacentral:rRNA from 1 species
CACCGCCCGUCACAUCACGAAAAGUGGGUUGUACUAGAAGUCGCCAAGCUAACCGCAAGGAAGCAAGCGCCCAAGGUAUGACUCAUGAUUGGGGUG